AAAUGUUCCUCAGGUGACAGGAGGCCGACUUUGUAACCGUCUUUAUGAGUCUUUGAAGGUUCAGGUCAGAGGUCAGAUGU